rnacentral:rRNA from 1 species
GGGCCCGCACAAGCGGUGGAGUAUGUGGUUUAAUUCGAUGCAACGCGAAGACCUUACCAGGGUUUGACAUCCUGCGAAUCUCUUGGAAACAGGAGAGUGCCUUCGGGAGCGCAGUGACAGGUGGUGCAUGGCUGUCGUCAGCUCGUGUCGUGAGAUGUUGGGUUAAGUCCCGCAACGAGCGCAACCACGUCUUAGUUUGCCAGCAUUAGUUUGGGCGACUCUAGAGAGACCGCCGGUGAUAAACCCGGAGGAAGGUGUGGAUGACGUCAAGUCAUCAUGCCCCUUACAUCCUGGGCUACACACGUACUACAAUGCUACGGACAAAGAGCAGCAAGUUCGCGAGGACAAGCA